CAGGGAAUCUUCGGCAAUGGACGAAAGUCUGACCGAGCAACGCCGCGGGAGUGAAGAAGGUUUUCGGAUCGUAAAACUCUGUUGUUAGAGAAGAACAAGGACGUUAGUAACUGAACGUCCCCUGACGGUAUCUAACCAGAAAGCCACGGCUAACUACGUGCCAGCAGCCGCGGUAAUACGGAGGUGGCAAGCGUUGUCCGGAUUUAUUGGGCGUAAAGCGAGCGCAGGCGGUUUCUUAAGUCUGAUGUGAAAGCCCCCGGCUCAACCGGGGAGGGUCAUUGGAAGCUGGGAGAGUUGAGUGCAGAAGAGGCGAGUGGACUUCCAGGUGUAGCGGUGAGAUGCGUAGAUAUAUGGAGGAACACCAGUGGCGAAGGCGGCUCUCUGGUCUGUAACUGCCGCUGAGGGUCGAAAGCGUGGGGAGCAAACAGG
rnacentral:rRNA from 1 species